rnacentral:rRNA from 1 species
GAUGAACGCUGGCGGCGUGCCUAACACAUGCAAGUCGAGCGAUUUACUUCGGUAAAGAGCGGCGGACGGGUGAGUAACGCGUGGGUAACCUGCCCUGUACACACGGAUAACAUACCGAAAGGUAAGCUAAUACGAGAUAAUAUACUUUUAUCGCAUGGUAGAAGUAUCAAAGCUUUUGCGGUACAGGAUGGACCCGCGUCUGAUUAGCUAGUUGGUAAGGUAACGGCUUACCAAGGCGACGAUCAGUAGCCGACCUGAGAGGGUGAUCGGCCACAUUGGAACUGAGACACGGUCCAAACUCCUACGGGAGGCAGCAGUGGGGAAUAUUGCACAAUGGGCGAAAGCCUGAUGCAGCAACGCCGCGUGAGCGAUGAAGGCCUUCGGGUCGUAAAGCUCUGUCCUCAAGGAAGAUAAUGACGGUACUUGAGGAGGAAGCCCCGGCUAACUACGUGCCAGCAGCCGCGGUAA